AACUUAUUGUUUUAUAAUGUUUAAGUUUGGGACUCAUAAUCGCUUGGUCGCUGGUUCAAGUCCAGCAGGGGCCACCA
rnacentral:tRNA from 3 species